GGCGUCAGCAGCAGCAGCAGCAGAAGGACAACAGGACGAUAGGGGCCAUCAGGUAGGGGAGAGACGAGGCCAGGGGCAACAGCAACGGAAGCGAAUGGCAAGAGGCGACUGAUGAGAUGGGUGAGGGGAGCGGAGAGUGCCACAUGGCGAGGGGGCAAAGGACAUCAGUCAGCUUUCCACUGGAGGAUGCCGAUGACCACAACCAAACCAUCCGGCCUGUCCACAAGCUGUCCAAAUAUGUUUGGUUUUGUUGCCGUUUCAGUGUGCUGGCCGCUGAGUGAAUCGUUCACAGACAUUGCAAUGAAACGAAACGGAAUGGAACGGCGGCGGUGUGCGCAACGUUGCCACCCGGGCGCAAUGAUGAGCGAAAAAUUGACAUGCAUGUAAUUAGUGACACAAGGACAUCGACCAUUGCCUGACAACUGACGCUGUCUGGAUCUGGAUCGCUUUAUUCCAACGAUUGCUGUUUGCCUGAUGACCUCAACACACACACACACACACACACACACACACACAUACGCCCACACAUAUAUCAAUUAUGGCGCUCAUGUCCUCGCGAACAGCCAACUCUGACUUUUCGUCUGUGUAAAAAUUAAUUUUCGGUUACGCCAUCAAAAAACGCAGUAGCAAAUAGACGAUGCAUGCGCUGAAUCUAUAACGAAUUGAAAAUGAUCUACAAAUAACUGCUGACAAAUUAUCAUGUUUGAGCUAGAAAAAGCCUGUGACUUGCUUCGAAUUCACAAGCUUAAAGUGUUUCAUUCCAGCUUUUCAUUUAUACGUAAUAUCCUUCCAGCAUACUGUAGCACAGUUUUGACUUGGCUUCGCAAAGGGUUCCAUUGUAGCAUUCCGUAUGCUUCUGCUUCAUCCGCUUUCAUAAAAUCAAUCGACCACAUACAUAUUGUAAGAUUUUCACAGACACUUACUCUUAUUUUCCUGCAUUCCAAGUCAUUGGAAUCGAUUGGCAUUCUUCGAAUGGCAUAGCUUUAAUGAUGCAGACGCACGUUGUUCCAUACCAUAAUUUUGGCUUCAUUCUAAUUAGCUCGAUUUGUAUUGACUCAACGCUUGUUCCAUUUCAGCAUUCCAUAACAUAUGAUUUCACACGUAUAGAGAGUUCAAAUAGAAAAGUAAUUACAAUUAUAACUUUUAUUUCUAA